rnacentral:rRNA from 1 species
UAUCUGAAAUCUAUUGGAGGGCAAGUCUGGUGCCAGCAGCCGCGGUAAUUCCAGCUCCAAUAGCGUAUCUUAAUGUUGUUGCAGUUAAAAAGCUCGUAGUCGAAUUUCUGGCCGGGACGCGUCGCUUAUAGCAGAUGUUGGCCCAGGUCAUCCGCCUGUGAUCAGUUGCUGUCCUUCACCGGUCACUUCUAGGAGCAGGCAUUUUACUUUGAAGAAAUUAAAGUGUUUCAGGCAGGCUUUCGCUUGAAUACACCAGCAUGGAAUAAUGGAAUAGGACUGGAUUCUUUUAUUGGUCAUCGAAUCUAGUAAUGAUUAAUAGGGACAGUUGGGGGCAUUCAUACUUGUAAGUCAGAGGUGAAAUUCUUCGAUUUUACAAAGAUGAACUAAUGCGAAGGCAUUUGCCAAGGAUGUUUUCAUUGAUCAAGAACGAAAGACAGGGGAUCCAAAACGAUUAGAUACCGUUGUAGUCCUGUCCGUAAACUAUGCCGACUGGGGAUUGGUAAAAUAAUAAUUUUAUCAGCAUCCAAUGAGAAAUCAAAGUCUUUGGGUUCUGGGGGGAGUAUGGUCGCAAGGCUGAAACUUAAAGGAAUUGACGGAAGGGCACCACCAGGAGUGGAGNCUGCGGCUUAAUUUGAUUCAACACGGGAAAACUUACCAGGGCAAGACUUUUAUAGGAUUGACAGAUUGAGAGGCCUUUCUUGAUUGGAAGGGUGGUGGUGCAUGGCCGUUCUUAGUUGGUGGAGUGAUUUGUCAGGUUAAUUCCCUUAACGAACGAGACCUUAACCUGCUAAAUAGUAGCAGUUAACUACUAGCUGUUUACUUCUUAGAGGGACUAUUUCCAAAAGAAAUGGAAGUUUGAGGCAAUAACAGGUCCGUGAUGCCCUUAGAUGUCCUGGGCCGCACGCGUACUACACUGAUUGGCGCAACAAGAUUCACCUAAUCCGACAGGGGAAGGUAACCUUUAAAAUACCAAUCGUGCUAGGGAUUGAUCUUUGAAAUUGUGGAUCAUGAACGAGGAAUUCCUAGUAGGCACAAGUCAUUAUCUUGUGCCGAUUACGUCCCUGCCCUUUGUACACACCG